UCACAUAGUAAGUCAACAAUGGAGAAGAGAGAGAGUAUCAAAUAGUAUUGUAAAGGUCCAGUAGAAAGACCUUAGAAUCAUGUAGCAGGAUCAUCCAAAGAAACAAGGUUGAAAUAAAGAUUUCAGAACUCAGUCGAGCAGUAGAUGAAACAAUCUUCAGAAACUCAAAUAGGUCCAAAGCAGUUAGGGUUUUGAAAUCAAACAAGUUCAAAGAUGAAUAACUAGCAAAUCAUAUAGUGAAUAGUCUUAAUACUCGAAUGAAACCCCUAAAUUUUAGGGUUUUGCCCUCAAUCGAGGGUAAAGAUGAAAGGACAAGUAAUCAAGGCAAAAAAUACUAAUGAAACAAAUUUAGAAAUCUCAGAAAUAAACCGAGCUUUAACAUCCAUCUUCCAGUAGAAGAACAACAUAAAAAAUAAGGUAGAAAAAACAUACCAGAAUCACAGUAGAAGAAACAUAAGAAAUACAGUAGAGAAAACACCAUAAAAAAAUAGUAGAAGAAACACCAUAAGAAUCACUGUAGAAAAAACAUAAGAAAUACAGUAAAAGAAACACCAUAAAAAAAACUACAAUAGAAGAAACACAUAAAAAAUUAUAGAAUAAACAUAAGAAAUACAGUAGAAGCCAGACAUGAGAAACACAACGGAACAUGCUAAAGAUCAGAGAAACUUUAAAGGGUAACUUAAUGGAACACUAGAUCGGAAAAAGAUGAAGGCUCUGAAGGUAUAGUUUUGAAAGAACUUUGAGAAAAUUGUUUAAAAGCUUAGAGAAAACAGAGAUAUACAACAGAUCUAAAAGAAUUGGAAAAACCUCGAAGGGUUAGGUUUCAGAAGAGCCCAGGUGGUUAGAAAGGCUCAGAAAAUCACUGAUUUGAGCCGGAGAAGUGGAGAUCUGACUCGAAUGACCAUGGUUGACCAGAGCAAGGUCAGAUAUGACCAUGUAACUCAAAUUAAAAAAGGUCUGGGCCAAGCUUCUUCUUGAUCAGGCCUUGAAACUUCAAUAACCAGCCUUGUAGGAGCUAUAGGAGGCCGGUGUAGGACUUCAAUGUCCUUGGAAGCCAUGGAUUCCGGUGGUUUUAGGGCGGAAGUGAAAGGAGGAGGCUAGGGUUUUUGAGGGAGAUUAAGAGAAUGGCGGAUUCAAAG
rnacentral:lncRNA from 1 species